CUUUUUUUAGAUUUAACUUUUUGAGCAGGCUUUGUCUGCGGGUGAAGCCUUGGAAACAGGACCUCUGAUGGGAUGCCUCGCUCCUGCCAGCUGGCUGCACAGCUCUGGUGGAUGAAAACUCCUGGUACCAAAUCUCGUAUUAAUGAAGGAAAUCAAACCCUGGUGGAAGUCCUUGGGGCAAAUGAAGAAGGACGGCACACAGAGCUGCUGGAAGAGUUUGUAUUCCACAAGAAUAGAACUCCAUGGGGCAAACUGAACCUCUCAUCAAAUACCAG